UGGUCCUCUAAAUUUAAUUUGUUAUAAUUUUUGGCAUGAACUUUAUAAAUUAUUACAAUAAAAUUUCACAAUCCGAUUUAGUUAGCUAAAUAUUAAUGUAUUGCUAAUAUGGUGGUGAUAUAGUAUUGCUGUAAUAGAUGAUGUGACAAUAAUUAAGAUGCCAUAUCAGUUUUAUAUCAAUGAUUUGUCAAUAUUUAGCAAGUUAAAUUAGGUUGUGGGACUUAAUUGUAAUAUUUAUAAAGUUUGAGUUAGAAAUUACAACAAGUUAAUGUUUGAUCACCAAAAUGUCACGUCUUAUAGUGUGAGAACCAAAAAUGUA
rnacentral:lncRNA from 1 species